UGGAAUGAAGUUACCUUCCUGUAUUUCAUUGGAAUGUUGUUUCUGACCAAAUGUUGGCUGUUUUAUUUUUUGUUCGUUGAGUUCUUAAUUUAGACUCCUUUGUCCUAUUUGUUAACAUUGGUUGUACUUAAUAACUUCUCUUUCUAUCAUAAAACGAAGCACGCCUUCUAGUUACAUGCAGGAUCGGAUGCACGAGUAGAUGAGUAGAUUUUAGUUCCAUGCACUGAAAUCUUCAAUGCAUACCCAAAAGUUAUGCAACGUGAUCAACUCCUCCACCAGUUAUAUAACAAAAAUAAUGGCCCAACCCACCAGCAUAUAAAGCUUUAGACUUUAGCUCAUACCAAUGCCCCUCACACAUAUAAGGCUUGGUUCUAGUUGCACAGUGG
rnacentral:lncRNA from 1 species